GCCUCCGUAGCUCAACUGGCUAGAGCAGAUCCCUCUUAAGGAUAAGGUUCCGAGUUCAACUCUCGGCGGGGGCACUA
rnacentral:tRNA from 1 species